AUUGAACGCUGGCGGCAGGCUUAACACAUGCAAGUCGAGCGGAGAUGAGGUGCUUGCACCUUAUCUUAGCGGCGGACGGGUGAGUAAUGCUUAGGAAUCUGCCUAUUAGUGGGGGACAACAUUCCGAAAGGAAUGCUAAUACCGCAUACGUCCUACGGGAGAAAGCAGGGGAUCUUCGGACCUUGCGCUAAUAGAUGAGCCUAAGUCGGAUUAGCUAGUUGGUGGGGUAAAGGCCUACCAAGGCGACGAUCUGUAGCGGGUCUGAGAGGAUGAGCCGCCACACUGGGACUGAGACACGGCCCAGACUCCUACGGGAGGCAGCAGUGGGGAAUAUUGGACAAUGGGGGGAACCCUGAUCCAGCCAUGCCGCGUGUGUGAAGAAGGCCUUAUGGUUGUAAAGCACUUUAAGCGAGGAGGAGGCUACUGAGACUAAUACUCUUGGAUAGUGGACGUUACUCGCAGAAUAAGCACCGGCUAACUCUGUGCCAGCCGCCGCAGUAAGAC
rnacentral:rRNA from 1 species